rnacentral:rRNA from 1 species
GUGGGGAAUAUUGGACAAUGGGGGGAACCCUGAUCCAGCCAUGCCGCGUGUGUGAAGAAGGCCUUUUGGUUGUAAAGCACUUUAAGCGAGGAGGAGGCUACCGAGAUUAAUACUCUUGGAUAGUGGACGUUACUCGCAGAAUAAGCACCGGCUAACUCUGUGCCAGCAGCCGCGGUAAUACAGAGGGUGCAAGCGUUAAUCGGAUUUACUUGGCGUAAAGCGCGCGUAGGUGGCCAAUUAAGUCAAAUGUGAAAUCCCCGAGCUUAACGUGGGAAUUGCAUUCGAUACUGGUUGGCUAGAGUAUGGGAGAGGAUGGUAGAAUGCCAGGUGUAGCGGUGAAAUGCGUAGAGAUCUGGAGGAAUACCGAUGGCGAAGGCAGCCAUCUGGCCUAAUACUGACACUGAGGUGCGAAAGCAUGGGGAGCAAACAGGAUUAGAAACCCCGGUAGUCC